GAAAUCCUGAGCAAUCGGGAGAGUAAAGUGGCGCACGGGUGAGUAACGCGUGGGUAAUCUACCCUUGAAUUGGGGAUAACUCCGCGAAAGCGGGGCUAAUACCGAAUAAUAUUUUGAGGUCUUCGGACCUUAAAAUCAAAGAUGGCCUCUGCAUGCAAGCUAUCGUUUAAGGAUGGGCCCGCGUACCAUUAGCUUGUUGGUAUUGUUUCGGCCUACCAAGACGAAGAUGGUUAGCUGGUCUGAGAGGAUGGCCAGCCACACUGACUCGUUAUACGNUGAUGACUCCUACNUUAAUCGAUGUGGAA
rnacentral:sRNA from 1 species